AGGGGGGCCAGCCGGGGAGGGAGGCGGAGACCCGGGCCCGCGGGCCUGCGGCGCCCCCGCCUCCGGCUCCGAGCUCCCAGGGCCGCCCCCACGCCGGGAGGGGGCGCGAGGGGGCGCCUGUGGCUCGGUUCGGACACCUUCUCCCGCCUCCUGCCGCGCACCCCGGCCUCGGGCUCCGCGCAGCGUGACAGCUCCUCGGGUUUGGAGAGAAGGGUUUCGGAAGGGUCAGAACCCUGGCGAGAACUCCCCACCGCCCACACUCACCUGAGGGCGGACGGACGGGCGGAAAUAGGAGCUUACAAUCAGCAUUUGACAAGUCUUCACUGAGCCUCUACUGUGUGCCAGGUCCUGGCACAGAAGGUUGCUGAUUCCAGGACAAAUCAGACCUUAUUCCUGACCUCCAGCUGCUUAGUCUCAAGAAGAGGAAAGGAAAAUAAAGAGACAAAUAUAAUACAGUGUGAAAAGUACAACAGUGGUCCAAUUUCAGUUCAUGAACUCAGAGCCAGAAAAAGGAAGUAGCCUUGAGACAAUAUCUUAAGAUAAGACUUCCGGGUAACAGAAAUUAGCAAGAAUGAAAAACAACCCAAGGAGCUUCCCCCACAUCUGCCAUCAGAACAGCUAAGCUUAAGACAAGUGACAACAUCAAGUGUUGGCCAGGAUGUGGAGCCCCUGGAACUCUCACACACACCUGGUGGAGAUGCAAAAUGGCACAGGUACUUUGGAAAACUGCUUGGCAACUUUAAUAAACAAAGAUUGGCCUGAGAUCCAGAAAUUCCACUCAUAGGUAUGUCUCUGAGAGAAAUGAAAACAUGUCCACAAAAACUGUACGUAAAUCUUAACAGCUUUAUUCAUAAUAGUCCAAGCCGGAGACAACCUAACUAUCUACUCAAAUAGGAGUUUGAAUAAAUAGUGUGGUAAAUCCAUAGUAUGGGAUACCACACAGUAAUCAAAGUGGAUGAAUGAUUGCUGCCCACAACAACACAGAAGAAAAAAAUCAUUAUGUUGAAUAAGAGAAACCAAAUGCAAAAAAAAAAAAAAAAGGUGAAUAUAUAAUUCUACUUAUGUGAAAUUCAGUAACUGGCAAACCUAAUCUAUGGUUUUACAAGUGGUUGCCUCUGGGGGAGAGGUGGGGAACGGGACUGUUUUUGACCUAGAAGGGGCAAUGGAAGCAGGUGUUAGAACAAUUCUACACUUCGAUCUUUGGGAUGGUGACACAGGUAUAUACAAAGGUAAAAUUUUUAAGUUUUUAAAAAAUGUUUAUUUCUUUUUGAUAGAGAGACAGAGAGCGAGCAUAAGCCAGGGAAGGGCAGAGAGAGAGAGGGAGACACAGAAAUCUGAAGCAGGCUCCAGGCUCUGAGCUGUCAGCACAGAGCCCGAUGGAGGGCUUGAACCCACGAACUACAAGAUCAUGACUUGAGCCAAAGUCGGAUGCUUAACUCACUGAGCCACUCAGGUGCCCCGUUUUUUUUUUUUAAAAAAUUAAUGUUUAUUUAUUUUUGAGAGAGAGAGAGAGAGAUACAGCACAGGCAAGCGUAUAGAUAAAAAUUUCAGUAUUUGUACAUUUUACUAUAUGUAAAUCAUACCUCAGUUUUUAAAAUUUCAUUUUAGUUAAAAACACACACAGGCUACUAUUUCAAAAGUAAUAUGCUACCCUCAGCACUAUGAAGAGGUAAGCACAUAGCACUCUGUGGGAACCCAGGAGGGGUAUUAACUACACUGUGUGUGGGGUGGUUGUGGGGAUGCAGAAGUUCCCAAGGAAGCCUUCCUGGGACAAGUGAUGGCUCAACUGAACUUCAAAAGAUUUGAACUGAAGGUGAAGCAGAAGAUGUCAAUAAGGGCAUUCCAGGCACAAGGAACAGCAUGCAAAGGCACUGGGUGAAUUCCAAGAGAAUUUGACUGGGGUGGGGGUGUGGUGGGGGAUGAGACUGCAGAUGCAUGCAGCAGUCAGACCUGACUAAGCCUUAUAAGCUGAAGGAGAGCUCAAAGAAGAUCCUGAAAGUUGUGGUCAGAUUUGGACUUUAGAAAAGCUCUCUAAGGAAGAAGAGAGGACAGUGGUAUAGAGGGGGUUGCAAUAAUCCAAGAGCUGGGGCUAUGUGGUCUGAGUUCUGGCAGGGGUAAAAGGGAUUGGGGUUGAGAGAAGAGCUUCCAGGGGUUGAGGAAAAACGCUUUGGCAACUGGUAACACUGGGGGGAAGGGGAAAUAGUUAUGGAGACUGUCAGGAUUUUUCCUUUCAUGCUAGGGUGGAGCCAUUUGCUGAGAAAAAGAUCGGAGGAGGUAACAUCUUUAAGUGUUGUGGUGGUUGGCCUGAUGUUGUUUUGCCUGUCCAGCUCCUGUUUCCCCCUUUCUCUUGUGACAGAACCCUGCUUUUCCUGCAAAAACUGAGUUCCUUCCUAACCUCCAGCUGUGCACCUAAAGUGGGGGUGACUCCACUUCUCAGCUGUAGGACAUGUGACCCUGACCAAUCAGCAUGUUUGAGCUCUCUGGUGGAAUGCAGUGAUUGGUUCAGGGAUUGGCACAUGACCCAGAUUGAUCCAAUGAGAGUUAGCCCUGGAAAUUUUGCUGGAAUUCUUGGGAAACAAUCCUGUCUUUUCUCCUGGGGUUGCUGAGCUGGUGAAAUGGAAGCCUGGUGAUGCUGACAGCCCUCUUUGCCACCAAGAAGGGAAAGCCUGCCUGAGAAUAAAGCCAGCACUUGAGUAAACAGAGCCAAAAGAAAGAGAGCCCUUUUCCUGAUUAUAUUGCUUGGACUCCUAGAUCCAGUCAUGCCUGAAGACUAACCUAUACUUUUCGCUUUUGUGAAACAACAGCUUCUCUUCUUGGGGUAAUUCUACUUGAGUUGGGCUUUUUGUCACUUUUAGCUGAAAGAUUUCACAUGACUAUAGGCUCCCCUGAAACGCUUAAUAUAGGUGUAGAGUUUCUGUUAGGGACGAUGUAAAAGUUCUAGAAAUGGGUAGUGGUGAUGAUUGCACAACAUUUUAUAUGUAUUUAACGCCACUAAAUUGUAAACUUAAAAGUGACUAAAAUGGUAAAUUUUAUGUUGUGUAUAUUUUACCACAAUAAAAAAGUUAAUAAAAA